GAUCGGAGCCCCUGAGGAAGUUGGU
rnacentral:piRNA from 1 species